rnacentral:rRNA from 1 species
GAGCAGAGGAUGCAAGCGUUAUCCGGAAUGAUUGGGCGUAAAGCGUCUGUAGGUGGCUUUUCAAGUCCGCCGUCAAAUCCCAGGGCUCAACCCUGGACAGGCGGUGGAAACUACCAAGCUGGAGUACGGUAGGGGCAGAGGGAAUUUCCGGUGGAGCGGUGAAAUGCAUUGAGAUCGGAAAGGAACAACCAACGGCGAAAGCAC